AUUUUCUCCGAAAUGUUCUUAAUAAGCUCAUUAAUAAAUAUCGAAAGGAAGAACCGAUUCGAAACUUUAAAGUCAAGAAUGUGGUGGGAUGCCUCCGUUAUAUUUAUUUACACGGCUUUUUACAGCCUUUUAGCCAUUUGCAAUGCACUCAGGCAACUGUUGCUGUUAUUGUGACAGUGGCGGGAGCAGAGUCAGAGCUGCGGAGAACAGCAACAAAUAACCAAAGAAAAGUGUUGUAAAGUGGCAACAACCAUUUCCCGAGAAGUUGCCCAGGUGUCAUUUGCCAUGCGCUCAACUUUUACGGUAAACUUUGCUCUUUUAUUUUGCUGUCGCACAAACUUUUCAUCGGCUAAGUCGUCGUUGAGACUUUUCAAGCAGCAAUAAUAUGUGUGAAUGUUCGUGUGGCAGCCUGUGGGGAUGACCAUUUUAACUCGUGGCUGCCACGUGCGGCACUUGCAGAUGUUGCAGGUACCCAUCUAUCAAUUCAAGCUACAUUUAUUAUGUGUCGAAAUGGGAAUAGGCUUGCGGCAAUUCCCAGUCUGAAUUGCAGCCAUCCGACUUUCAAUUACUUAAAUCUAAUUACAAAAACGAAUUUUAAGCUGUGUUUGCCAACUAAAGAGGUUCGAGUUCCCCAUGCUAAACAGUUGAACUGAAGGUGGAGCCCCGCAGCCAUACCACGCCCAUAGGCGACGCCUACCGCCAGCAUGUGCGGAAAUGUAUCAUUUGUAUUGUUGUACUUGACUUUGUAUUUGCAGUUGCUU